CAUGAAUGACCCCUUCUGCAAUUGCUUCGACAGAAAUAAAAUCUUGCUGUUGCAGCUGCCUCAGAGCCAGUGACUGCUAGGCCGAAGGAAAUAUAAUAGCUGCUUUAUAGGAUGAAAUCUUUAUAUCUCCAGCAGACUCAGAUAUGAUGUGUUUGUUUGCUUUCCUCAUCUGUGUAAUACGAGGCUUACAUGAGCUAUUUUUGGUGUCACCUCAAUAUCAAGAGUUUGCCUUGUUUUCAUCUGAGGAUGACAGGCAGAAGUGCUACAGGUACGGUGCUUUGGAUGGCAUACUAGACUUUUACAUUAGACUAUAGAAGAAUGUCCAAUGCCACUGUAUGCCAAUUUCACCAUAGGACCUGGAUGAAGAUAACUUGUACAGAAUUAACCAAGGCUCUGAUGAUAACUAUUGAAUAUUCAAGCUUAAAAAUAAUAUUGAGGAAUCACGGUCCAUCAGUUUCAGAGGAUCAGAUUAGAUCUGAAUUUGUUCUUCAGCUGGGCACAGCAACCUGGAGAGAUCUCAUGCUUACCGAAGGUCACUGA
rnacentral:lncRNA from 1 species